ensembl:lncRNA
GGAGAACACUGAGGUCCAUGAGAACAACCAUAAGCUGAAGAAGGAGAUUACCUUCUCUAGAAACCUGCUCCGCCAGCUCCUGAUGGAGAACACAUGUAGGAAGAAGUUGUUCCCACUGAAGCAGGAGAACAAGGAGGUACAUCUUGAUUGUGCACUGAACCAGAAAUAUUUGGUUGACUUCAACAAGAAAGAUAAAGACCAUCAACGGCCAGAACCAGCAUUAUCAGGUCUCAGAAAGUGCAAGCGAGCUGGAAUUGGACACACACCAGUAAGAGAGCUUCCUGAAGAAUAAGUUGCUUUCUCAGGAGUCCCUGAUGACCAACAUCCUGAAUGAAAACAGCACUUGAGAGACAACUUGGGGGACCGCCUUUCAUUAUGUGUGCUAGAGGAGAAACAGCAAU